GCCUUGCCAAGGACGUGCUUGUUGAUUGUACACCGGAUGCCCACCGAAUCUACACAAAUUUACGAAUAACAGGAAAUUUGGUGGUCUGAGUGAAUGGUUUUACAAAUGAUGACCAUGAUAAUUUUAACUUCUUUAAAUACGAUAAAGAAUCACUUUUAUUGAGCAAUUCUUGCUUGAUAAUUUGGCUAAACGAGGACAUUCAUUGAUUUACUUGAGUGAGCCUGGAUUAACAUCAAAACUUUGAUAACUAAAUCUUCAGAAAAAAAUAAGGGGUAAAAUUAUCUUGAGGUUUUUUUUGGUGUCUGCUGAAUUUUUGAACUAUUGAAAUUGAAGAAUCUAUUUUUUGUUCGUAAAAAAUUUAAAUAAAUCCAAGAUGGAAAUACCACAAGUGAUUCAUUUGGUUCAGGUGGAAUUGUACCAACAUCAAAAGUUCUUCUGUCCAUCAAUGCUCGAAGUAAUAUCUAAUAAGAUGUAAUUGGUAAUAUUAUUGCGUGACAAUUUGACAAACAAAUAGGGUAAAAAUAUAUAUAUUAAAUGUAAAUGUUGCAUGCCAGUUGAAGAUCAUUGACCUUUAUCGAUUAAAAAAAAAUAUAGAUAAAUAAAAUAGUAAAAAUAAAAUAAAUUGCAGUAAAUGAAAAUAAUUGUUAAAAAUGUCAAACAUUGUUAUUGAGUAAUGAAGGUCAACAAAAUAAUAAUCAAUUUAAUUAUAAUUUAAAAUAAUAUUGUGAUGAAUUAUAUUUUUUAAUAGAAGCACCUCGACACGACGAC